rnacentral:rRNA from 1 species
AUUGAACGCUGGCGGCAGGCCUAACACAUGCAAGUCGAACGAGUGGCGGAUGGGUGAGUAAUGUCUGGGAAACUGCUCGAUGGUGGGGGAUAACUACUGGAAACGGUAGCUAAUAUCGCACACUAUAGGAUGUGGCCCGAUGGGAUUAGCUAGUAGGUGGGGUAAAGGCUCCCCUAGGCGACGCACCCUAGCUGGUCUGAGAGGCUGACCAGCCACACUGGAACUGAGACACGGUCCAGACUCCUACGGGAGGCAGCAGUGGGGAAUAUUGCACAAUGGGCGCAAACCUUAUGCAGCCAUGCCGCGUGUAUGAAGAAGGCCUUCGGGUUGUAAAGUACUUUCAGCGAGGGGACGUUACUCGCAGAAGAAGCACCGGCUAACUCCGUGCCAGCAGCCGCGGUAAUUC